AAACUUAAUCAAAUAGCUGUACGUAAUUAGAGCAGCGACCACUGCUGCUAAAUUUUAGUUACACUGAUAGUCCAUAUGCGAAUGGGCCAAUCUUUCCUUCAAUGUCAGAUUUGUGUAAUAGCAUUUCUUAUAGCUGUCAGAAGUCUCAGCCUUUUUUUUUGCGAUAACGAAGUCUCAGCCUUAGUGACUAUGGUUUCCGACCCAUGGCUUGGAUGGUUCGUCGAGGUAUCUGUAGAUGUUGAUGUGUUGUUUAAAGACGGAGCUGUCUGCAAGGUCACCAAUAGUCCGAGAGGAUGGGGCUCAUCCAUCGGUGGCGCCACCUCCAGCAUCAGACAAGGCUCGCCGGGUUUUUUUUGCUGAUAAAGAGUUGCCCUCAUGUACCUGAUCAUCUAGGUAAAUAUACAUAUGCCUAAUGAGUUCUCCGCGGUCUGCCAGUCUGCAACACAUAACUCAUGCAUACUUAUACACUAAUACAGUAAGAUAUAAUAUUCAACUUUGUUGCUCAUGUGUCAUUUCCCAGCUUGUUCGCCAUUCAGAACGGUAACAUGCGAUGGCAUUUUCGGUGAUAAUAUUUUUAAAAUAAAUAAAGUAACUCUGCUCACAUGUGUGUAGUUCCCCUGAAACUCUUUUAUGUUAAUAUAUGCUCUAUGCAGUAUCCAUCUCUUCAGAUGUCUGUUGUAUGUACAAUGCAUCCUUUGUUGCUAAGUGUUUUUAUGCCAGGCUGUUUGUUUCAUUUUAAUACAAUGAUCUCAUAGCAGGGUCACUUUUAUUUAUAGCCCUAUGUUUCUCUAAUUAACUUUACACUAUGCAUAGUAUUUCUGUCC